GUUAAGGUGGCAGAGCCCGGAGAAGUGCAAAAGGCCUAAACCCUUUUAACAGAGGUUCAAGUCCUCUCCCUAACU
rnacentral:tRNA from 1 species